GCUUGGUGCUGACAAGGUGAGCGGAGCGCCGGAAAGGACGGCAAGAGAAAUAAGAUUCCGGGGAACGCUGUUGCCUGGAGACGGCGUGCCACACUGUUGCUCGGAGAUGGCCGCAGACCCUGCACUGGGCGAGCGUCCAGAAGGAGCGGGACCCGACCCAGCAGGGCCGAGGCCAUGGCCGGACACCAAAAGGAGAAGGUGGUCCCAGAUGAAGUCCAUCAGAACCAGAUCUUGAGGGAAUUGUACCUCAAAGAGCUACGAACCCAGAAGCUCUACACACAGUAUCACGUGAAUCCCCUCCGCAAAGAAAUAGAGUGGAAGCUCAGGGUGUACGAGAACCUUCUCUGUUUACAGCCCUAUCUCCACUGCAUUCGAAAUUACAAGCAGAAUGGAUGUUUGUGGAUUCUGCACCUCUGUUAUCACAUGGCCUCCUGGUGCACACAAUUGCCAGAAAGCCCAUGUCAUGGCACGAUAACCUGGAGGAGCCUGCAGAUGCCAGGUUUCUGAAUCUUAUUCACCACGCUGCCCAGGGACCAAGGAAGAAAUACACGGAGACACAAACUGAGAGCCAAGAAAUUGGAUGGGACUCAGAGCCCUUGGGUUGAGCAAGGAAGAGCACCAGAGGCCACACAUCAGGAGACUGGGGCCUGAUUCGAGCCCAGAUCCAUCCAACUUCAAACCCAGGUCAUCCCCUCUUCCCCACAGGCUUCUGACGCCUGUAUUCUCCUCUUUAGG